UGUGAAUGAUGACUCCUCUUUUCCUGACAUCCCUGACGGUACAAACUGAUUUAAUGAGCCUGACAC